AGUGAAUGAGUGAACAAAGGGAGGAAUGAAGGAAGAAAUGAAUGAACGGCUAAAUACAGGAGGGAGUAAAUGAAUGUCCAGUGACCUGGCAUCACAAGACCAUGUCCAGCCUGCUGUGCAGACAUCAAUCAACUGCUCUAUCAGAAAAAGGCGUUGUGGUUGCGGACCAGCGGCUGGAAGCCAGACACGCCGGGUGCUGCCUCUUGCUACCCUCUCGGUCCGCAUCACCUCCACCCGACAGAACAGGAUGCAGAGGCUCAGAAGCUGCGACAUCCAGUCACCCAGCACGGCAGUGACGCCGCGUGCCAGCAAACCCCGGCCCUCCCUGCCUCCCAGCCUUGGUGCCUUUCUCGGCACAAGGCUGUAAAGUGAUGACAUGAAGGUGGACUAUGUCCCGGGAGCGGGUCUGUGCGAUCCCGUCCCCACACCACACCUCCGCCCCCUCCUCUACCUGGCUGACUCCUCGCCGUCCUUGGACACCCAGCUUGAGGGCCCUCGCCUGCAGGCAGUCUGCCUGAUCUCCAGCCUGUUUCAGAACCCCCGGGGGCCUGUGCUUGGGCAACCAGGGUUCUUACGCUUCAGGUUGUAGCAGAUCCUUGUCAGUCUCCUCCUGCACUAGGGCGCCCAGGGGCCAAGAACUGAUGGCCACCCCGCCCCAGAAAAAAUAAAUAGAUUUAAUAAAUUGCAAGAUCAUCUGUAACUGCUCCCAAAACAGUGGCAUCCUGCAGGCAAGAGCCCACUAAAAAAGUCUUCUAGCAGGCGCCUCUGCUUCACCCACUCCCCACAGCCCCAUGACCCCUUGACCUUCAUCUGUCACCUCGUGACUCAGUGUGGUCCCUGGAUCAGCAGCGUCAGUACCAAGGGCUUGUUGGAAAGGCAGAAGCUCAGACAACCCAGACCCCCGGCACAAAGCAGGGCUUCAUUAACAUCAGCUCUUGUUAUAGGAUUGGAACCUUGCUCUAAAGCCUACUAUGUAGCACCCAUCAUGCCCAUUCCUAGUUGGGGAGCUGGGCUUCAUGGAGGGGAAAUGACUUUCUCCAGGUUUAACAGCCAGGACAUGAUAGACGCGG
ensembl:lncRNA